rnacentral:ncRNA from 1 species
AUGCGUGCUCCGGGGUCGGUGAAAGUCCGAACCGGCGGUGACAGUCCGCGACCCGGUCGGCGUCCGCAGCAGCGGGCGACGAACGGUUGACUCGGUGGAACUCCGAGACCGACGGUGAAAGUCCGGAUGGGAGGCAGCACGCGC